CCAGCCGGCCAGCCGGCCAGCCAGCCAGCGGCCAGCCAGCCUGCCAGCCAGCCAGCAGCCAGCCGGCCAGCAGCCGGCCAGCCAGCCACCCUACCCCUGCAUCCAGUGAGGGUCAUCCCAGCUGCACAGUCCCUGGAGCCGAAGAGGCAGAAAUAUUAAGUAUCGUGUACAAGGCCACCCAAGAAAGCAUUCACGCCCUGCGUCGUCCCUGUCUGCCGGCCAUGAACCACGUCGUCUCCCGGGGACCGGGGAGCCGGAAGUAAGCAAAACAGACAACCGCUUUCUCUUAGGAAGCUGGUGUUCUCACACAAACACUGUAUGUGAGUGUUCACAGCAGCCUUAUUCACAACAGCCAAAAAACGGAAACGACCCAACUGUCCAACUGAUGAAGGAGAAACAAAAUGUGGUCCAUCCAUACAAUGGCGUAUUGUUCAGCCAUAGAGGGUAUGAAGUACUGAUACGUGGAUGAAACUUGAAAACAUCAUGCUCAGGGAAAUUUCUGCUGAGCCAGACACAGAAGGUGUCACCAUACGUACUGUGAGACAUAGAGGGUUUUAUAAGAAGGGUCCAGAACAGGCAGAUAUUUUUUUUUUAACGUUUAUUUAUUUUUGAGAUAGAGACAGAGCAUGAACGGGGGAGGGGCAGAGAGAGAGGGAGACACAGAAUCUGAAACAGGCUCCAGGCUCUGAGCUGUCAGCCCAGAGCCCGACGCGGGGCUCGAACUCACGGACCGUGAGAUCAUGACCUGAGCCGAAGUCGGACGCUUAACCGACUGAGCCACCCAGGCGCCCCAGAACAGGCAGAUUUAUAUAAAGUGGAUUAGUAAGUUGCCUGGGGUGGGACGGUUGGAGGGGAAAUGGACGAUGAUUGCCAUAAGGGGGACAGGAUGACGGAAAUGUCCUAAACUCGACUACAGCCACGAGGGCACCACAGCCCAUUAACAAGCUCUCGAUAAAGCUGUUUUAAGGAGUGGAUGCUCUUGGAGGUGGGGACAGAUUAGCACAGACAAAAAUGAGGUCAAUCCUUCCCAGAAGUCACCACCCACUGGACACAUACACUUGAAACAGUUCUAGUUUUGCUGAGCACUGGUUUCCUACCUACCCUGUGUCCAGAUACUCACCAAUCGUUCCGGCCCAGCGUCCACAUGCUUUCUAUUAGGAGACGGUCUCACUCUGGGAUGCAUUAGUCAGGGUAUUACAGAAAAAGAAUGAAAACAAUAGAAUUGUGUAUAUAUAUCGAGAGAAAGAGUAUUUUUUAACUUUUUAAAAAUAUUUAUCUAUUUAUGUUGAGAGAGAGGGAGAGAGGGAGCAUGAGUGGGAGAGGUGCAGAGAGAGAGAGAAUCCCUAGCAGGCUCUGUGCAUGACAGGGCUCAUGACCUGAGCCCAAAUCAAGAGUUGGACGCUUGGGGCGCCUGGGUGGCUGAGUCAGUUAAGCGUCCCACCUCUGCUCAGGUGGUGAUCUCACGGUCCGUGAGUUCAAGCCCCGCAUCAGGCUCUGUGCUGACACCUCGGAGUCUGGAGCCUGCUUCGGAUUCUGUGUCUCCCUCUCUCUCUGCCCCUCCCCUGCUCACUGUGUCUAUCCCUCUCAAAGGUAAAUAAACAUUAAAAUAGAAAAUAAGUUGGUUUUAAA
ensembl:lncRNA